rnacentral:lncRNA from 1 species
GAGCCCAUGCAUCCCAAGGAUCUCUGAGCAUGAGCCAGGGUGGCCCAGGGGCUCACAGGAAUUCCCCUUCUGCUCUGAGCCCACCAGAGCUGGCUAUACAAUGAUAACUUCACCCCCCUCGCCCCCCAUGGGCAGCACCUGCUCCCUGGGUCUCCCCUGGUGGCCCUAUUAUCCCGCACCUGCUGCUUCCCCACCUGCUCCCUAUUCUUAGCCCCCUCCCCAUAGCACACCCUGUUCAUCACUAGGCCCAGCUGCCUGCUCUGACAGCCAGCCAGGAAGGGGUAAUAGAACCAGGAGAGGUAGCAUGGAGGGCCCAAGGACAGAGGGUCCAGAGGCCAGUCCAGCUCUGUUUGACUAGUAGUGUGUAUGCUUACAAUGGACUCCAUCUCAGGGCCUCAGUCUCCCCACCUGUGAAGUAGGAACCGCAAGCCCUGACCUCAACUUUCUACAAAAACUUUACUGCUUGGAAGAUCUUAGGCCAUCGUGUUUCAAGAUCUGAGUUACAGAGGACAACCAGGUUGGGGAGAGGAGGGAGGUGAUGUGCCUUCGGCUGUAUUCCCAGGGCUAUGUCUGUUAGACUACAAGGAGGCCAGGGCAUUUCUCUGAUUACUGAAGAAUCCUUUGUGGGCUAUUUAAGUAAGGUGUGGACCCAGCCUGGGUGCCAGGCAACAGGUAGAUGAAUAAGGAAACUGUGAUUAUACAACAUGGAGGCUUAUCCUACCGCAAGAAUCAGUGCUGUGUGCAGGAAAAGAAAUGGGGCUGCAAAGCCUUGUGUUACAUCAAAGAAGCCAGAUGCAGAAAGACAGAAGCCACGAUCUCUCCCACGUAGGAUCUAUAUCUAUAUCUAUAUCUAUAUCUAUAUCUAUAUCUAUAUCUAUAUCUAUAUCUAUAUCUAUAUCUAUCUAUAAAGAGUAGAAAGGGGACUUAUGUGGGGAGGAAGGUAUCUAAGGGGGAGGGAACAAGAGAGGAUGACAGGGGGAGUUUAAAAGACAUCACGUGUUUUUAUGUAUAAGGCUUAGAUUUUAAAAGUGCAUGUCAAAAAGGUAUCUCACAUGGAAUCAAAACUACUUACAGGAAAGAAGUGGACCAUGAGGACAAAGAGCGGGACAAGGGAGGGUGACGCAACCUUCACGUGCAUGAAGAUGCUAAUGGUUCAUAUUUUAUAUCCUGAAGAAAGAAAUCAAAAGAACUAAAACAAUCCCCAUAGUUAAAACAGAACAAAGCAGAAAAAAAGAAUCACUUCUGGGGCUGGAGGUGAUGUUUCUGAAAAAGGGUCCCGAGGAACUGAAACCACAGUGAUGUGUCACAGAGAAAUGACAACUCACUUUUCCCAGAUGUGAGCUCUCAGCUAUUCCUGCCAUCAUGCCUGCUGCUUGCUGCUGUGAUUCCCAACUGUAACGGGGAUGGAGUCCUAUCCCCCUAGAACCAUUAGUCCAACAUAAAUCCUUCUGCACGUU